GUUUGUUACCGAUAGUUUAGAAAAACAAUAACAUAAAAUUAUCAGUUUAUUGUGGGCUUCCUUGUACGUUGAAAAUGAAGUAUUUUGUUUUAGUGCUCUGUGUUUUAUUUUGUGGAGUGCUUUCGAAAACUGUAUUAAAACGAAAUGAUUCGGAUAAAGGUGGAAAGAACAGUCCCCUGAUAUGGUUCAUGAUACAACAGUUAAAUGCUUUAGGAGCACGUGUAGAAAAACUCAGAGAUAUAGCACAUGAAAGUCAAAAAGAUAUGAUUUCUAUGAAAAGAGACAUGGCUGAUUUGAAAUCUAGAAACGGAAAAUUCGCCAUUGACAAAAAUGAGCAAUCGCUUGAUGACAUAAAUUCUAAAGUAAUUGCAGUAGCUAACAAAAAGAAAAUCGACAAUCUUACGUCAAAAUUAAAUAAGUUCGACACAGUCGCAAACAAAAAGAAAUUCGACGUCUGGAGGCAAGAUUAGAUAAGUUUGACAAUAGCAAACUCGACAAGCAAAUUAAGCAGGCGCUUUCACAGAUUAGAAGAUUCACCGAGAACCAUGAUAACAUCGGUAAGCUGUAGACAAUAAUGUCUGAUAAUUCUUAUAUGAUUUGCAUAUCUAUAAAUACUUAAAAUUUAAUUAAAAUGAAGUUUUGAGGUAGGUUCUAUUUCAUUUAAGAUUCCGUUGUAUUUGUCGACAUUGAUGGUUUUUAGAAAGUUAAGAUGGCGGCGUACUCCUUAGUUACGACUUGCCAUUGUGCUUUUGAUGGUAAAUAUGUAUAGUAGCCAUCAACAAAAAAAUGUUUGGCUGAAGAAUUAUAAGGAUUAAACACAUUUUUUCUACAGGUUAUUGAUGUGUAAACCGGGGCUCUUACUCACAAACUCAACUCGGACUUUUAUUCAGUUUGUGAGUUAAUCGCCCCGGUUUACACAUCAAUGACCUCUAGAAAAGAUGUGUUUAAUCCUAUAAUAUAAUUGAAUUUUAACAUUUAUUAUAAUACAUAUCCUGACUAUGUUAAUGUUUAUGCAUCCACAUUCUUACAAAUAUUUUUUCCGUUUAUCAAUUAUCAAUUAUCAUUCAAUGCUACAUAUACUUAUCAUAAUAUGCCCUCUUAGAUACAUAGAUCAUUUAGACGAACAAAAAUUACAUACCCUUCCGAAACACUUGACCCUGAGUUCACACUUCCAAUUUUAGGUGUGUUCUGUUUUUCUCAUAUUGUUUUUUCGUCUAUUUUGACCGUGGUGCGGCUUGCCUACGUAGAAAUUUUUUUGAGUUUUUUUUUAGUUUUUCAUGAUAAAGUGACAUCGCCAUAGCUAUGGGAAAAAAACCAACAAACAAUAGUUCACAAACCACAACAUAAAAACUAAAGAUUAGGCAAAACGAACCCCACCAAGAAAUUGGGUGAUCUCAUUUGCUCCGGAAAAGUAAGCAAAUUCUGCUCCUCAUGUGGCACCCGUUGUAACGCUAUUGUUAUUAUUAACCCGGUAAAUAGUCUAAUUCGGUAGGUCAAGGGGUAGGGAUUGUAGUAACGAUGUUAUGAGCAUAUCUGCUAUCAUCAGUGAUGGUGUCUGUCACAAUUACGAAGAUUUAAACUUCUUGGUCUAAUCAAUUCCUAGUGAGCAGCGAUAGCCUAUCAAGAAUCUUCUGCCUUUUUUUGCUCAUUUUUAGAAGUCGUUAGGGUGCCUGUAGUUCAUAACAUUUAUCCUUCGGUGUUUGGUGUAUUGUUUAAAUUGUUCUGCAUGUCCUUUUUUACAGGUGGAGGAGAUACAUAUGUACGGUGGGGUCGAUCUACUUGCCCAUCAAAAAAUGGAACUACACUUGUAUAUUCUGGUAAGUGCACAUAUUACAGUCGAAUGUGAUAAGAUUUAUAAUGUUCAUUAAAAGAUGAUGAACGUCAAAAUUGUUUCAAUUUUGUUUAAAUCAUGUAAAACAAUUGUUGGUAUUGUUAAUGAACAAUUGUCUUUUUAAUAAUAAGUAACAGUUAGUUACUGUAAAAAGUAAAACCACCAAAAAUAGUGAACUCCGAGGAAAAUUCAGUUAUAGAUAAUACAUAUUUUAAGGUUUUUCUUGUCGUAGAAAACACCGAGAGGUGUCAAGAUAGAUGAAAGGAAAGACUUAGGGCAAUCCUGACACCCCGAUAUGUGUUCUUCGACAGGACAAACCUUGAAAUAUGCAUUAUCGGACUUAUAUAUCGUCAAAAAUAUAUUAUUUUUUAUAAAAAAUUGCAAUAUUAAGCAUCCUAUUUUACCGACAACACUAAAGUUUACUAUUCCUUUUUAAUGCGUUCGGGUUUUUAAAAUACGCCUAGCGCAUUUAGAAUGUGUAAUAAAACCCACAAAUGAAUUGAGAUAUAAACCUUAGAAAUUAUUAUCUAUACACAAUUCAAAUGUUAACUGUAACUGCAUGAAGUAAGACACAAAUGACUUAUUACCAUUCAAUAACGGUGACUGAAAAAAUUCAAGACACUUUGAAAGUAAUUUACUUAGUUUUUGGAAAGGGGGCG
rnacentral:lncRNA from 1 species